AAUAUUGGACAAUGGGCGCAAGCCUGAUCCAGCCAUGCCGCGUGAGUGAUGAAGGCCUUAGGGUUGUAAAGCUCUUUCGUCGGGGACGAUAAUGACGGUACCCGAAGAAGAAGCCCCGGCUAACUCCGUGCCAGCAGCCGCGGUAAGACGGAGGGGGCUAGCGUUGUUCGGAAUUACUGGGCGUAAAGCGUGCGUAGGCGGCCUUUCAAGUUGGGUGUGAAAGCCCGGGGCUUAACCCCGGAAAUGCGCCCAAGACUGUUUGGCUAGAGACCGGGAGAGGUGAGUGGAACUCCCAGUGUAGAGGUGAAAUUCGUAGAUAUUGGGAAGAACACCAGUGGCGAAGGCGGCUCACUGGACCGGUACUGACGCUGAGGCACGAAAGCGUGGGGAGCAAAC
rnacentral:rRNA from 1 species